GGGGGUGUAGCUCAAUGGUAGAGCACUUGCCUUGCAUGCAUAAGACCCCAAGUUCAAUCCCUGGCACCCCAA
rnacentral:tRNA from 1 species